rnacentral:lncRNA from 1 species
AACACCAGGACACUCAUGCAUUCAAGAGGUGAAUAACAUUCAUUCGAAUAUCGAAAAAGCUCUGAAAAUUUCAGAAGUUUGGUCUCCAGUCUCUCUAAUAAGAUUGCUUUUGUUUUGCAACAGAAAAUCCUCUUAUGAUGUAAUUCAAAUGAAGGCUACUGAUUUCCGUGACUACCACACUCCAAGCAAAGUAUUUGCGUACUGUAAAAUACCAUAUACAAAAGGUAGCUCAAUUGAAAUUUUCAUCACAUGAUCCACUUACUGUUUAUUUUAAAAAUAGCCAUGGCAGUCAGACAUGGUUAAAGAAAAUUUAUUAAAAGGAAGAACCACAAGGAACAAAAUGCAACAGCAUCCAAAUAUUUUUGAGACUUACCUCCCAGAAGCAAACGUUUCUUUACAAAAUAACAGGAUAUGUCAAGAGAAGGUAAAAGAUAUCAAAUCAAUGAUGAAAUGGGUGCCUACUGUUGAUGUAGAGUUCUAUAAAACAGUUUUAUGCAAAACUUAGAACUCUAUGAAUCUGUAAUAUUGAAGGAUGUUCAGAACCAAAAGGUUCUAUGUACA